rnacentral:rRNA from 1 species
GACGAACGCUGGCGGCGUGCUUAACACAUGCAAGUCGAACGAAGUGGCGAACGGGUGAGUAACGCGUAAUCAACCUGCCCUUCAGGGGGGGACACCAGUUGGAACCGACUGCUAAUACCGCAUACUGAAGGAGGGGAUUGCGUCUGAUUAGCUAGUUGGGGGGGUAACGGCCCACCAAGGCGAUGAGCAGUAGCCUGGCUUGGAGGAAUAACGGCCACAUCGGGACUGGGACAAGGCCCAGACUCCUUACGGAGGCAGCAGGUGGGAAACUUCCGAAAUGGACGAAAGUCUGACGGAGCAACGCCGCGGGAGUGAUGACGGCCUUCGGGUUGUAAAGCUCUGUUAAUCGGGACGCGGUACCGGAAGAGAAAGCCACGGCUAACUACGUGCCAGCAGCCGCGGUAAUUC